AGUGAACGCUGGCGGUAGGCCUAACACAUGCAAGUCGAACGGCAGCACAGUAAGAGCUUGCUCUUACGGGUGGCGAGUGGCGGACGGGUGAGGAAUACAUCGGAAUCUACUUUUUCGCGGGGGAUAACGUAGGGAAACUUACGAUAAUACCGCAUACGACCUACGGGUGAAAGCAGGGGAUCUUCGGACCUUGCGCGAUUGAAUGAGCCGAUGUCGGAUUAGCUAGUUGGCGGGGUAAAGGCCCACCAAGGCGACGAUCCGUAGCUGGGCUGAGAGGAUGAUCAGCCACACUAGAACUGAAACACGGCCCAGACUCCUACGGGAGGCAGCAGUGGAGAAUAUUGGACAAUGGGCGCAAGCCUGAUCCAGCCAUACCGCGUGGGUGAAGAAGGCCUUCGGGUUGUAAAGCCCUUUUGUUGGGAAAGAAGAGCAGCAUGUUAAUACCCCGCUGUUCUGACGGUACCCAAAGAAUAAGCACCGGCUAACUUCGUG
rnacentral:rRNA from 1 species